rnacentral:lncRNA from 1 species
GGAUUCCAAGUCACCUAUUCUGAGAAUGCAAAGACGACUUGUAAAUCAUCAGGUCGAAUUUCCCUCUGAGGACACUAAGCAACAGGAAGACAAUCCCAGGCCACCGACCGUGCUCAGAAGCAGAGAGCCACAAUAUCCUCUUUAUGAUGCUUCUAUGUCUAUAAACGAUCUAGAAGAUGCUGAAACCCAAUCUGUAAAUGUGCAAAGCUUCUGGACUGGUGGGGAGGGGAGAGCGUGAGGAGGAGACACAAAUUGCAAAGAGCAGAAUAAUCAGAUACAGAGGGACUUUGAUCUUCUGGAGACCUAAGCUAAUAGAUGUUAAGUGCAGUUCAGUGGAAGUAAUAACCCAUGAAGAAAACAAAAUCUGCAAAAUGAUAAAAUGCUGCAGUCCACUGAUCAAGGAAGGCAUUGGAAAAUCACUACGAAAGCAUCCUCAGCGCAGCAGAUCCAAGAUUGAAGAUUUUACCAUCCAAAACCCACAAAGAGAAAACUCCUACUGUGGUCUUCAGAAUUUCCAUUCAGUUGAUUUGCCUGCCAAGCUCAGUGACCAGUACCGCCGCUCCUGAUGGUGGGGAGCAUAUGGUACUGCUGUGAAUAGUUUUGCUCUCACUGCUGUGAAAUCCCACGCCUUCCUACAGAAUGUGUUUGGAGGAGCAAAUGGUGAGUGUUGCUCUUCAACAUAACUCCGUCUCUGCCGGUGGAACCCAGUCUUCUGAAGAACAAAAUGAAGUGAUAGCUGCAAUUUUCACAGGCACUGGGUUAGUGUUAGCUUUGGGGUUAAUGGCUACUAGUUAACUAUUCCUUUCCAAGAUGAAAGGUUAUCCCUUUCUUGGAUUUACUGAGAUCUAUAACAAUAAAUCAACCAUCCUUAAUUUUUUUUUUGCUUGUUUUAAUUCUCUUCCUCCUUCUCCUCUUCCUUCUUAAAAAAAAAAAGAAAAAAAAAAA